ACAGUUCAUUCGAUCCCCAGUCUCUAGUGUCGGAUCAGAUCCCACCGAAACGCCCACACAGUGUUGAAAGCAAGAAAUCCUUCCGCAGCCAGUCAAUGCUUGUUGGAUUCGAUUGAUUCGACGAGCCAUGACAAAAAGAUAGGGCGAUUCGAUUCGUUUCGUUUCAAGGCGCAAACAUGAAGCAGCGGAGCCUCUCGCUGUCCCGACCGCCCCCUCCCACUCCGGCGGGACCCGCCACCGUCCUGUGCCCUUCCUUCCCAGGAUGGUAAGGCAAACGAAAUCAGUGGAGUGGUCACUUAAUCCUUUCGACCACAUCACAGCUCGACGCCUUACCACCAGUACAAAGGGGAAGGAGAUGGAGGCUCGCUCCGCUCCCCUCCUCCUCCCGCCCGAACAGACUCCACCACCACCUCGACCCGACCCCAGGCUGGAAAUGGCGGCCUCCCUCCACCCUCGCGCUCUCCCCCACCACGCAGUUUGCAGGUGGUAGUUGCUCCGUCCGUGAUGCGCUGAGGCGGACGCCGGCGCCGCGCGUGGCCGCUGUCUCCUCCAUCCAACUCCGCACGUGCUCUUGGGGCGCGCUGCGCCCUCUACGGCUGGAGCUUGUCGUGGCCCCUCCUCGCCCUGGCGCUGCCCGCUGCAGGGCGCCUCUGUUCCGGCCUCACGCAUGUAUGCACCCACGCCAGACUUCUCUCCACCAUACGAUCUCCAGCAGCAGCGUCGCUGCCGUUGCUCGCGUCCCGGCGCCCAUCGUCACGCCUAGGGUAGGGCCUGGGUUGCCGGGAGGGAGGCAGGUGGGUGGAGGGAUCGGCCACAAGCAGCUCGGUCAACGACUGGAGUGGCCAGCUGAACGGGGAGAGAGAGCGGGAGGGGAUCUUAUUUGUUGUUUUAAUAAAAAAACAAUCACUUCAACAAAACGACAGAAUGAGUACAACCGCUCGAAUUCAUCAGUUCAAUAAUGGUAACAGAAUAUUAUUCUGUUACACGACCUCCAUCCGGGAAAAGUUGUCUCCGUGGUGUUUUUUUGGAAACCCCCCCAGCGAAUUCCCCACAAACCAGCAGCUCCUUGUCGUCUCCCACGCUCCUCUGUCGCGACGGAAGUCUGCUCCCCCGCGCUUCCGCAGCUCCCCCGCAGCCCUCCCGUGUCGCCGGAGCUUUCCCGCCCCAUGCCUCCCCCACCCCAUGCCUCCCCCAAAGCUUCCCUCUCCUUGUUCCCCAUGGUGAUCCAUGGCAAGCAAAAGACUCAUGCUUUCUUUCAAUCUGCUCAGAGCGGCCAUUUCCAGGUCCUCCUCAUCGGGGCUGCGGCGGCGACGUGGGCGAGUAGGAGCAGUGGGCGCACGAGCAUGCCGCGAAGGAGGCCACCUUCGGCGUCGGCGUGCCCGCCGCCAUGCUGCGGUGCGUCAACGACCUCGCGGACGCGCCGGAUCUGGGCCACCACCAGCAGAGACGUAGCCGACGGGCCCGAUGACAACAAGCUCCCCCUUCCGAGCUCGAUGAGGAAUAUGGAGGCCGCGACGUCUUCUUGGCCGGUUAUGCCCCCCCCCCUUCAAAACUGAUUUUUGUGUCAGAACUGAAAUUGUUGGUAGAGAAAUUGUUUGACAGUCUUUUGUGUUUGUUUCCGUUUCAACAGAGCUCCAACCAAGUUGAAUCUUGAAUGGAUGGCCAUUUCUUUGAAGGAUUGGCGUUUUUGAGUUUGCUUGCUCGCGUCCCGGCGCCCAUCGUCACGCCUAGGGUAGGGCCUGGGUUGCCGGGAGGGAGGCAGGUGGGUGGAGGGAUCGGCCACAAGCAGCUCGGUCGACGGCUGGAGUGGCCAGCUGAACGGGGAGAGAGCGGGAGGGGAUCUUAUUUGUUGUUUUAAUAAAAAAACAAUCAGUUCAACAAAACGACAGAAUGAGUACAACCGCUCGAAUUCAUCAGUUCAAUAAUGAUUAUUCUGUUACACGACCUCCCUCCGGGAAAAGUUGUCUCCGUGGUGUUUUUUUGGAAAACCCCCCAGCGAAUUCCCCACAAACCAGCAGCUCCUUGUCGUCUCCCACGCUCCUCUGUCGCGACGGAAGUCUGCUCCCCCGCGCUUCCGCAGCUCCCCCGCAGCCCCCCGUGUCGCCGGAGCUUUCCCGCCCCAUGCCUCCCCCAAAGCUUCCCUCUCCUUGUUCCCCUCCUUGUUCCCUAUGGUGAUCCAUGGCAAGCAAAAGACUCAUGCUUUCUUUUAAUCUGCUCAGAGCGGCCAUUUCCAAGUCCUCCUCAUCGGGGCUGGGGCGGCAGCUCGCCCGUGGCGGCGACGUGGGCGAGUAGCAGCAGUGGGCGCACGAGCAUGCCGCGAAGGAGGUCACCUUCGGCGUCGGCGUGCCCGCCGCCAUGCUGCGGUGCGUCAACGACCUCGCGGACGCGCCGGAUCUGGGCCACCACCAGCAGAGACGUAGCCGACGGGCCCGAUGACAACAAGCUCCCCCUUCCGAGCUCGAUGAGGAAUAUGGGGGCCGCGACGUCUUACCGAAAAAGGCUCACGCCCCGCUUUAUAGAUAAAGCCAAUGCCAAAGCCAACAUCCACAAGGUUCACACCACCAAGGACACACACACACACAUAGUCCAGGAACAAACAAGCAUCAAGGGUUAGUGCUGAGGGCACAGCUCAACAAGCCCAACACACACACAAAAAGCGGCACACACGCCGGGAGAGAGACGCCUCUAGUCGGGCUCCGGGGGAGGCGGCGGGAGCGGCGGUGCCAGGCGGAAGGCCAACGAACGAAGGUCGGAGAGGAGUCUGUCGAUGGCAUCCCGGUCCGGAGGGCGGCUAAGCGGCCGCCAGAGCUGCAAGUAACCACACAUUUUGAAGAUGGAGUCAGUCGCACGUCGAAGAGGCACCUUCUGAAUGACAAGCUUAUUGCGAACCGUCCACAACGUCCAAGCCAGCACCCCAACGCACAGCCAUCUAAUAUGUCUGUAGCGUGGAUGGGAGGCCUGGAUUUCCGCAAGCAAGUCCAGGAAGUUGUUAUUACACCACUGUCCCCCAACCGUUUCGCGAAAACACGCCCAUAGGAACUGUGCCGUGCAACAGGAGAAGAAGAUGUGAUUGGCAUCCUCCGCCGUGUCACAUAGGGGGCACAUCCCAUCCCCAGGCCCAUGGCGCUUGAGGACCUCCACGCCGGACGGGAGGCGGCCGCGGAUCCAUUGCCACAAGAAGAUCCGGAUCUUAAGUGCCGCGACGUCUUCUUGGCCGAGCUCCAACCAAGUUGAAUCUUGAAUGGAUGGCCAUUUCUUUGAAGGAUUGGCGUUUUUGAGUUUGCUGUAAGCAAUUUUACAGGGCUAAUGACUUUGAAGUUGAUGCUGCUAGGAAGCAGCUGAUGCACUUUGAGUUGUACAUUUGGUCUGAGAGGCAGAUGGGGUGAAUUAGGAUUACUCUGCACAAUUAGGGACACUGAAGAGGCAGGUUAGUUCAGAGUUGAGCAUCUCCAACACAUGUUCAGCUUACUACUGCAUUGAGGUGCUUCAUUCAAGAUUCAACUGGGUUGGAGAACCGUCUGCCUGCCUAUUGAUGAUGGUCUCAACUUGUCUGAACAAUGAACAAGCAGGCAGAUUUGAGGUGCUGAUGUAGUGUAGGGACUGAUUGAUGCACCUCAAAUGCUUGGUAAAUUAACUAGGAGUACAUGAUUCUGGAUGCACUUUAUUCUUCUUUCUUUCUAAUGGUUGUUCCUAUAACAAACUGAAUUGUUUCCAAUUAUUCAUAAAUAAUUUUCAGUUAUGCAUAGUUUCAGAAAUAAUGUUUCCAAUUUGGCUAAAUCUGGCCUGAAUUUGCUGCUAGUGCUAGGACAUGCUCAACACCGCCCUGUUUCAUUCUUGUUUUUUGUAGAACUGAAUUUACUAGCACCAUUUUGCAACUUGCUAUUACUGUACAAAUUCCCACCUGCUCCCCUGUUUCUUGGUCAAAACUGAAUGUUGACAGAGUUUUGGUCAAAACAUUAGAUGAUGUGAGCUUUUUCAGCUAUCCAAAGUUUUAAGAGUUUUAGAAGUAUUGCUUGUCAAAUCAGUGAGUAGAAAUUUUAGGGCUAUGUCUAGAAGAAGAAGAAAAAGAAAAAGAAGAAGAAGACCCAAACUACAAAUGGCUGCCAUAAUGACAAAAGAUGAUCCAAACUAAAUUUCUGAUUUAUAAAUGAGGCUAAGUAUUCAGCUUCUUCUUAUAACUGAACUAAUGCUCUUCUCUUUACCUCUAACAAGCUUGCUCAUUCAUUUUGGCAGUACACUUUUCAAAGGCUUAAUUACCUCCCCAUUUUUUGAGUCUGAGUAUUCAGUUUGACUAAAUUCAAAAAAUUCAGUUUGACUUUGAGAGGGAAUAAACUACUAUUGUUCACUGUAGUUUAUUGCAUAAUUAUGCACAAUUUAGUUUACUGUAGUUUGUUGAAUCAAAAUGAAUCAAGAUACAGUAGCUGAAAAUAUUUGGAAAUAUAGUCCAACCUUGAGUAAUCUGGUGGAAUGAUAUUAAUUGUUUCCAAAAUAAAUUGAUAGAUUGCUGACCAUUAUAAUUAGUUCAUCAUUCAACCAUAGUUGUUGAUGCUAAAAUUUCAGCAAGCAAGCAUUUCAUCAAAGCCAAACAUACACAAACAUAAAUGCAGUCUUUUGGAUCCACACUGGUCGCUGUAGUUGAAGACCACACAGGAAUUUGAACUUCAGUUUAAAUUUGAACUUCAAUUUCAUCAAAAUUGGUAGUACAUGCAGCAUCACUGAAUUUAAAUGUGCACACUGAAUUUUUACAGGCAACAGCACUGAACUUUACCUCUUGCGGCACAGGCGGGCAG